rnacentral:rRNA from 1 species
GAUUUCUGACUUGGCGCACCUGGCCCGCCACGGUUACGUGUGUGAGUGCCGGGAUGCGCCUGUCACUUUUCUAGUAAACUAUUGUACUCUUCAUUGAGUGCGAUAGGUAGCUAGAUAUUUUACUUUGAAAAAAUUAGAGUGUUUAAAGCAGGCGUUUGCUAUGAAUACAUUAGCAUGGAAUAAUAAGUUAGGACUUCGGUUCUAUUUUGUUGGUUUCUAGGACUGAAGUAAUGAUUGAUAGGGAUAGUUGGGGGUGCUAGUAUUCAGCGGCCAGAGGUGAAAUUCUCGGAUUCGCUGAAGACUAACUUAUGCGAAAGCAUU